rnacentral:rRNA from 1 species
UGGAUGGACCCGCGUCGCAUUAGCUAGUUGGUGAGGUAACGGCUCACCAAGGCGACGAUGCGUAGCCGACCUGAGAGGGUGAUCGGCCACACUGGGACUGAGACACGGCCCAGACUCCUACGGGAGGCAGCAGUAGGGAAUCUUCCGCAAUGGACGAAAGUCUGACGGAGCAACGCCCCGUGAGCGAUGAAGGCCUUCGGGUCGUAAAGCUCUGUUGUUAGGGAAGAACAAGUAUGAGUUGAAUAAGCUCAUGCCUUGACGGUACCCUAACCAGAAAGCCACGGCUAACUACGUGCCAGCAGCCCCGGUAAUACGUAGGUGGCAAGCGUUAUCCGGGAAUUAUUGGGCGUAAAGCGCGCGCAGGCGGUUUCUUAAGUCUGAUGUGGAAAGCCCACGGGCUCAACCCGUGGAAGGGUCAUUGGGAAACUGGGGAGACUUUGAGUGCAGAAGAGGAGAGUGGAAAUUCCAUGUUGUAGCGGGUGAAAUGCCGUAGAGAUAUUGGAGGAACACCAGUUGGCGAAGGCGACUCUCUUGGUCUGUAACUGACGCUGAGGCGCGAAAGCGUGGGGGAGCAAACAGGAUUAGAUACCCCUGGUAGUCCACGCCCGUAAACGAUGAGUGCUAAGUGUUAGAAGGGUUUCCCCCCCUUUAGUGCUGAAGUUAA